rnacentral:rRNA from 1 species
UGCGCAGGCGGACUCGUCAGUGUCUUGUGAAAUCCCAUGGCUCAACCAUGGAACUGCAGGGCAUACUGCGAGUCUUGAACCCGACAGGGGCAACCGGAACUCUAGGUGGAGCGGUGAAAUGCGUAGAUAUCUAGAGGAACGCCAAAGGCGAAGGCAGGUUGCUGGGUCGGUGUUGACGCUCAGGCACGAAAGCGUGGGUGGCGAACAGGAUUAGAUACCCUGGUAGUCC